rnacentral:rRNA from 1 species
AUUGAACGCUGGCGGCAGGCCUAACACAUGCAAGUCGAACGGUAACAGGAAGCAGCUUGCUGCUUCGCUGACGAGUGGCGGACGGGUGAGUAAUGUCUGGGAAGCUGCCUGAUGGAGGGGGAUAACUACUGGAAACGGUAGCUAAUACCGCAUAAUGUCGCAAGACCAAAGAGGGGGACCUUCGGGCCUCUUGCCAUCGGAUUUGCCCAGAUGGGAUUAGCUUGUUGGUGGGGUAACGGCUCACCAAGGCGACGAUCCCUAGCUGGUCUGAGAGGAUGACCAGCCACACUGGGACUGAGACACGGUCCAGACUCCUACGGGAGGCAGCAGUGGGGAAUAUUGCACAAUGGGCGCAAGCCUGAUGCAGCCAUGCCGCGUGUAUGAAGAAGGCCUUCGGGUUGUAAAGUACUUUCAGCGGGGAGGAAGGGAGUAAAGUUAAUACCUUUGCUCAUUGACGUUACCCGCAGAAGAAGCACCGGCUAACUCCGUG